rnacentral:misc_RNA from 1 species
CCGGGUCUCUGACUCUAAAACCACUGUGCAUCAAUACUUUACUGCUGAGGCGGGCCGCUCGCUGGGGGAGCUUGAGCCUGAAAAGGUGGUACGCCGAAGCAACUUUUUCUAACCAGAUAACCUGAAAAGAAAAAACUUUCAAAUUAUCA